rnacentral:rRNA from 1 species
AAGGGCACCACCAGGCGUGGAGCUUGCGGCUUAAUUUGACUCAACACUGGAAAUCUCACCAGGCCCGGACACCGGCAGGAUUGACAGAUUGAGAGCUCUUUCUCGAUUCGGUGGGUGGUGGUGCAUGGCCGUUCUUAGUUGGUGGAGUGAUUUGUCUGGUUAAUUCCGAUAACGAACGAGACUCCGUCCUGCUAACUAGUUGCGAGGUCACACUUUGCCUCGCAAAUUCUUCUUAGAGGGACUGACAGCAUCUAGCUGUACGAGAUGGAGCAAUAACAGGUCUGUGAUGCCCUUAGAUGUUCUGGGCUGCACGCGUGUUACACUGAAGGGAUCAGCGUGUUUUCCCUGACCGAGAGGUCCGGGUAACCCGCUGAACCCCCUUCGUGGUAGGGAUCGGAGCUUGCAAUUAUUCUCCGUGAACCAGGAAUGCCCAGUAAGCGCAAGUCAUAAGCUUGCGUUGAUUACGUCCCUGCCCUUUGUACACACCGCCCGUCGCUACUACCGAUUGAACGUUUUAGUGAGGUAUUUGGACUGGGCCUCUGGUGGUUAACGCCUCCAGUGUUGCCCGGGAAGACUCCCAAACUUGAGCGUUUAGAGGAAGUAAAAGUCGUAACAGGGUUACUGUAGGUG